rnacentral:rRNA from 1 species
GAGUUUGAUCCUGGCUCAGGAUGAACGCUGGCGGCGUGCUUAACACAUGCAAGUCGAACGGGGAUUAUUUCAUUGAAGCUUCGGCAGAUUUGGCUUAAUCCUAGUGGCGGACGGGUGAGUAACGCGUGGGUAACCUGCCUUGUACAGGGGGAUAACAGUCAGAAAUGACUGCUAAUACCGCAUAAGCGCACAGGACCGCAUGGUCCGGUGUGAAAAACUCCGGUGGUAUAAGAUGGACCCGCGUUGGAUUAGCUAGUUGGUGGGGUAACGGCCCACCAAGGCGACGAUCCAUAGCCGGCCUGAGAGGGUGAACGGCCACAUUGGGACUGAGACACGGCCCAGACUCCUACGGGAGGCAGCAGUGGGGAAUAUUGCACAAUGGGGGAAACCCUGAUGCAGCGACGCCGCGUGAGCGAUGAAGUAUUUCGGUAUGUAAAGCUCUAUCAGCAGGGAAGAAAAUGACGGUACCUGACUAAGAAGCACCGGCUAAAUACGUGCCAGCCGCCGCGGUAAUUC